rnacentral:ncRNA from 1 species
AGAGUAGAGCGCGCGCGUCGGGAUUUCCCGGUAGUGCCAUUGGAUGGGAGGUUGCCAAUGGACGAAAAGACUUCGGUCUUACGGUGUGCGCUUGCAGCCGCU